GACGAACGCUGGCGGCGUGCCUAAUACAUGCAAGUAGAACGCAGUUUCGAACGGGGGAGUAACGCGUAGGUAACCGCCCCAUUGCGGGGGGUAAAUAAUGGAAACGAUAGCUAAUACCCCACACUGUGAGAUGGACCUGCGUUGCAUUAGCUAGUUGGAGGGGAAAAGGCUCACCAAGGCGACGAUACAUAGCCGGCCUGAGAGGGUGAUCGGCCCCAGCGGGACUGGGACACGGCCCAGACUCCUACGGGAGGCAGCAGUAGGGAAUCGUCGGCAAUGGACGAAAGUCUGACCGAGCAACGCCGCGUGAGUGAAGACGGUUUUCGGGUCGUAAAGCUCUUUUGAUAGAGACGCGGUAACUAAACAGAAAGGGACGGCUAACUACGUGCCAGCAGCCGCGGUAAUAC
rnacentral:rRNA from 1 species